rnacentral:rRNA from 1 species
GUAGUGGCAACGUUAUCUGUCAAGUAUUUGGCGUAAAAAAGCGUGGGCAGUGGUUUAGUAUGAUGUGAAAAAACACCGGUCAUCAGUGGAGGGUCACAGUAGACUGGAAAAGUCUGUGCAGCAGAGGAGGAGUGGAAUUCCAUGUGUAGCGGUGAAAAAUGCAGAGAUAUAAGGAACACCAGUGGCGAAGAAAGACGGUUCUCUCUGUAAUAGACGACGAUGUGCGUAAGCGUGGGGAUCAGACAGCAUGAGAUGCCCUCGUAGUACUCCCCGUAAUCAAUGAGUACUAAGAGAUAUGGGGUUUCCUCACUUUAGUGUAGCACAGAAAGCAUUAAGCACUCUGCGCGGGGAGUGUGCGCGCAAGGGUGUAAAUCAAAAGAAAAGUCGGGGGGCCCCACACGAGGUGGAGCACGUGGUUUAAUUUGAAGCAAAACGAGAAGCCCUUUCACAUCUCUACAUCUUCUGACCCUUUUAGAGAAAAAAUUUUGCCCUUUGGGGGCCAGAGUUACAGGUGGUGCAUGGUUGUCGUCAGCUCGUGUCGUGAGAUGUUGGGUUAAGUCCCGCAACGAGCGCAACCCUUAAGGUUAGUUGCCAUCAUUAAGUUGGGCACUCUAAGUUGACUGCCGGUGACAAACCGGAGGAAGGUGGGGAUGACGUCAAAUCAUCAUGCCCCUUAUGACUUGGGCUACACACGUGCUACAAUGGACAAUACAAAGAGUGGCGAAACCGUGAGGUCAAGCUAAUCCCAAAAACCUGUUCUCAGUUCGAUUUGUAGUCUGCACUCGCCUACAGAAUCGGGAAUCGCUAGUAUCGCGGAUCAGCAUGCCACGUGAAUACGUCCCGGGGUCUUUACACACCGCCCUCACACCACGGAAGUUUGAACCCCGAAGUACGUUGGCUUACCGCAAGGAGCCGCCGUUAAGAAGACAA